CUGUAGCUCAGCUGGAUAGAGCAACGGCCUUCUAAGCCGUGGGUCGCAGGUUCGAAUCCUGUCAG
rnacentral:tRNA from 1 species